UACGGAGGAUCCAAGCGUUAUCCGGAAUCAUUGGAUUUAAAGGGUCCGUAGGCGGGCUAGUAAGUCAGUGGUGAAAUCUCCCGGCUCAACCGGGAAAUGGCCAUUGAUACUGCUAGUCUUGAAUUAUUGGGAAGUAACUAGAAUAUGUAGUGUAGCGGUGAAAUGCUUAGAGAUUACAUGGAAUACCAAUUGCGAAGGCAGGUUACUAUCAAUAUAUUGACGCUGAUGGACGAAAGCGUGGGUAGCGAACAGG
rnacentral:rRNA from 1 species